GCUCCUCAACCCUAUCACCCUCAACACCAUCACCACCACAGUCGCCACCACCACCGCCAAGGCUCGAAUGUUGCUCCCGCAAUUUCACCUGCUCCGAGGGCUGAGAAAAGGGGAUCAGUUAGCAGGAAAGUUUCACCAAUAUUGGCACCUGUGCCAUCGUCUGCACCAGUGGUUGCACCUGCCCCUAUACAUUCAACUCACAAAGGUCAUGUGGCGAAACCUCCUUGUCAUUUCGAGAGAUUCCCAAGGAAGGCGACUAGUCAUCCUCCUGUACUACCGCCUAUUAGGUCACCAGUCCCUGCACCUCAUAUUGCUCCCUCUCCACCACAGAAAAUGCAUGCUCCAACACCAGUCCCGCAUGAACUCUCUGCGUUGAGCCCAUUGCCCUCUGUUGUGUAUGCUCACACUCAGCCUCCUCC
rnacentral:lncRNA from 1 species